AUCACAUGUAGCAGAUGAGCGGGAAUUGCACCAUUAGUCAGUUAUAAGAUAUAUAUAUAUAUACUUUACGAAAUUUUCAAACAUGAGUGAGUGUCAGGAGGAGAAGGGUUGGAAUGAUGAUUAUUGCGGGCAGGAUGACAGAAUCGAGUUGGGCGAACCAACUCAGUCCUCCCCGUCUGCCUGCGCGUGUUCAAGGACAGAAAGGGGCAUUGGGAAACCAGGCGAUGGUUGGCUUAAACUUUUGAUUGAUCGGAUGAGUGGUGGAGGAAAGAAAUAAAGAUGGAGUUUCUUGGCCAAAGAUCUGGACUCAGCUUUGCUAUCCGUCUGUCCUGCUUCUGAUCUGCAUUGUAUAGAAUUAUCAUCUACCGUCCCAACCAAACCAAAGUAUUCAAAGUGGAAUCAUAAUGUCGUGGUAAAUCAAAGAGGCCUUGUCAGUCGCGUGUUUGUAUUAUCUUACUGGAACUGAGAACAAGUUUCUAUAUUUCAAUGUAGAAUCAAGAGUAAAAAAGGGGUUAAGAAAAUAUCCGCACAGAAGACAUCUUUGUUUUCUUCUUAUUUUCUUUAAGGAAAUAUCAGCUUUAGACAAGGGGACACCAGUGGAGUGGUAUGGGGGGGGGGGGGCUCAGCGCUCUCCAUUAUUCACCGUUUUCAUCCUCAAUAAAUCAAAGUCUCUAUCCUUUCGUUUACCGUUUCUUUUGGGACAUAUAGAAAAUGUAGUAUCCAUCAAAACCGUGAAUUAGUUUUUUUUUUGUCAUUACCCUGUUAAACUUUAAACAGUGUACAGAUAUUUGAUUUAAAUCUUUCGCUGAUGCAAGAUUCUUUUUCAAUUGAUUUUUAUUUGAUUGAAAUUGCCAUUUUGCUGUCUUUACUACUUAUUGUAUAAUAUUUUUCCUUGAAAUUCCGUUGAUUCCGUGAACUACUCAGAAACCAUCAGAAUUGUCUACUUUCAUUAUUUCGAAAUUGGGGACUCUAUAUAGUCGGCAGCCAAAUGGCGUAUUUGGUGCCGCAUAUACGGUACUAAAGACUGAUGCAUUGCAGGUAAUUUUGAAAAAACUUGAAUUUUUUUUUUUUUUUUAAAUGAUCUGUAAUAGUAAAGUGAGUUUUUUUGUUAUAAGCAGUAUAUAUGAUGAUGUCACGAUUAUCUCUUAAAAAACGUUUGAAUUUCAUAAUUAAUUUUGCUAUUAUUUUAACAACGAAACCUACAGUCAGUUAUGAGAACAUCUACACAAUAUUGGCAAGUACAAAAUUGUUCAGUCAAUUUAUCUUAAAGUUUGUUAUGAAAUGUCACUGAAUUGUAUGUAUUAUUUCGAACAUGUACUUGUACUGUUACUUGAUUAUUUUGUUGAACGGAAAUAAAUAAAUCUAAAUCUGAAAAAAAAAAUCCAAAAUCGUCUAAGAAAAAAAUGUGUUGGUACACAGAGACGUCGAUCCUGGGGGAGCAGGGGGGGGGGCGAUCGCCCCCCCCCCCCCAAUGAAAAUUCUUGGGGGCAAACAUAUCAUUUUGCCCCCUAACGAUUCCGAUGUGCAAAAAUAAAAUAAAAUUGUAAGGUUACACAGAAAUCGACGAGCGACGAGCGAGAUACAAAACUCGUUCUUUAUUUAAAUCUUGCUCAUAAUGUCCGCUUUUCAGAUUGGAAUAUAACAAAUUUCAGCUCGCGCUUCGUGCUCGCAUCAUUUCUUUAUAGCAAAACUCCAUACAUUUCAUAAUUAAAUAGGUGAAUAGAAUGUCCCGUUUUCUGAUGUAAACCUCGAAAGAACUCCCACUUCGAUUUGCAAUAAUCGCCCCUGUUGGUACAUUAAAUUUAUCUGUGAUAUUGGACAAUACAAUUGGAAGGGUACCAAUGUUAAUACAAACUUUCAAAUCUAAUUUUGUUUGUAUUUCCAUAUAAAGCACAAAUGUACAUGUUAAAAUUGUCAAUUAAUAUAUUUUUUCAUGUUGUAUUGUAAUCUAUUUUAUUUUUAAUAUUAAUCUUUAUGUACCGUUUAAUAAAUAUGGGUACGUUUACCUAUUUAGCAUUGUUUUAAAUUUGAUUUUGAUCAAAAAAUCAAGGAUAAUACCUCCAUAAUCAUGUUUUAAUGACGUUAACUGGCAGUUGAUUGUAUGAUUUGUCUUCAUCCUUCACUGAUUUCUAAUGUAUUUCACUAUUUUUAAGUAUUUCUAUUUAUUAUGCUGGUGUUAUUUGUUGUUGUUUUCUGGAUUUUCGGUUGAUUGAAUUUUAUCUGUAUGUUGUGUUGUCUCUUUUAUCUUGUAUAUUAUUGUAAUAUGUUUGUAUUUUAACAGGGUUCUCUUAUAAAACAGUUUUGUACUGAAGAAACCACCGUGGGUAAAUAAAACAAAAUAAAUAAAUGAAUAUAUCACUAAUCUAAUGUCACUGUUUGUAAUUGUUGUAGGAUCUAGAUCUCACACCAUCUGUUGGCCAUUUUAAAAUAUCAUCGCACAGAAUAUUUAUCUAGUUAUCAAUAACAAUCAAUAAAACCCGUUGAUUACUUUAGAAUA